rnacentral:rRNA from 1 species
GACGAACGCUGGCGGCGUGCUUAACACAUGCAAGUCGAACGGAAAGGCCCUGCUUUUGUGGGGUGCUCGAGUGGCGAACGGGUGAGUAACACGUGAGUAACCUGCCCUUGACUUUGGGAUAACUUCAGGAAACUGGGGCUAAUACCGGAUAGGAGCUCCUGCUGCAUGGUGGGGGUUGGAAAGUUUCGGCGGUUGGGGAUGGACUCGCGGCUUAUCAGCUUGUUGGUGGGGUAGUGGCUUACCUAGGCUUUGACGGGUAGCCGGCCUGAGAGGGUGACCGGCCACAUUGGGACGGAGAUACGGCCCAGACUCCUACGGGAGGCAGCAGUGGGGAAUAUUGCACAAUGGGCGGAAGCCUGAUGCAGCAACGCCGCGUGCGGGAUGACGGCCUUCGGGUUGUAAACCGCUUUCGCCUGUGACGAAGCGUGAGUGACGGUAAUGGGUAAAGAAGCGCCGGCUAACUACGUG